rnacentral:lncRNA from 1 species
CUUUCCUCCCUUGGCGCGAGCACUCCGGCAGAGAGGCUGUGUUGGCCUCCGUGAUACAUGAACUAUUAACUAGCCGUGUUGUGCCCAACUACGUUUAGAUGUUGCGAGACAAAAAGAUCCAUCGAACCGUCUAUAUCGUACCUUAUAGUUUAGCGUAGAAAUAAAUUCUGCAAUGUAUUUUCGAGGUUCUUAAACGUGCAUCCAAUGCACUAUACGAGCGUUUUUACUUUCUACCUAAAAGCGGCCGUCAUGUCCUCGAGCUCAGCGGCGCCACACCGUAGCCACGGGGCUACGUUAAAACACUGUAAGUAAACCGUUCAAAAUUACGCAUCUUUAUAUUAAAAGGUCUGUGUGCAUUGCCUGUACCUGUCAUACCAGCUAAUACGUUUAGGUUUGUCAUUACCAGCAAAUGUUUAACUUGGCAGAAAACUGAUUUGCACUUCGACACAACUGAGGGUCGCAUUUCGGGCCUAUAUAAGAUCGUACGCAAGUUCACAAAGUAUGUAAGGCAAACUGUGUCGUUGUAUGCGAACGUGUGCGUGUUGAUUCUGUCAGUGCUAUAUGAAUUUUGAAUGCCUUGUACCUGCUCUUGAUUACAUCUGUGCGUAAAAUGUCUAUGUAU